UUUCCGUUGGUGAACCUGCGGAAGGAUCAUUAAAGAGAAUAUGCCCUUCGGGGUAGAUCUCCCACCCUUUGUUUAUAUUACCUUUGUUGCUUUGGCAGGCCCGUCUUCGGACCACCGGCUUCGGCUGGUCAGUGCUUGCCAGAGGACCCAAAACUCUUAUUAUUAAUGUCGUCUGAGUACUAUAUAAUAGUUAAAACUUUCAACAACGGAUCUCUUGGUUCUG
rnacentral:misc_RNA from 1 species